rnacentral:tRNA from 1 species
CCCUGGUGGCUCAGAUGGUAAAGAAUCUGCCUGUAAUGCAGGAGUCCUGGGUUCCAACCCCAGGACAGGGA